rnacentral:lncRNA from 1 species
CAGGCAACCAAGAGGCUGCGGCGGCACAGGCGUCGGCAGCUGCAGCCGAGAGGCUGCAUGGAAGAGGCGGCGACGGCAGCCAGGAGGCGGGGUUGGUUGUUAUCUUUGGUUAUCUAGCUGUAUGAGUGGUGUGGAGUCUUCAUAAAGCUAGAUAACCGAAAGUAAAAAUAACCCCAUACACUGCGCAAAGGGGCCCCGGGAAAGCAGGCCGCACGCUCGGGGUUGCGGGUGGGGGAGGCUUAAGACAGGGGCUAGAGCUACAAGGACCCACCGACCGUGGGAGGCAAGAAGAGGACCCGGCGGCCGUCGGGCCUCAAGACCGCACGGUCGGGGCGACUUUCCACCCUCCAACUUCGGGCAGCGCAGAUCUCAAAACAUUUAAACUUGAGGAAGUUCCUACUUUUCCAGCUUUGGAGUCAAGGAGGGCCUCUUGAAACCUGAGGAAGCAGUAUCUGAAGCCUGAGGAGAGGAGGAGCAGACCCUGGGAAAGCUGUUAAGGGAAGAGGCUGGAGUCCACGUGGCAGAAUAACCAUUGUGUUUUUCUCCCUAAUACAUCUUACCAUGUAUUGCCAUGUAUUGCUUCUUGCCUGGGACAGGUGGGUGCUCCACCUCCCUUCCCCUCCCUUUCCUCCUCAAGGGCACCAGAGCCGUAUCCAGAACCAUGGACAGCUCCCAGGCGGUGAGUGAGGUGGCUGUGCUGACCCCUUUGGGGAGGGUUAGGGAGGGGAUCCUUUCUGCAUGGUUAGAUAUCAAAGACUCUAGAAUUUUUGAUCUUUGGGAAUUGUUUGCAAGCAGCUGUGGAGUCUCAGGGAGAGGAAAAGGCUAAAGGCAGUUGCCAUUCUAUCUGCAGGAGGUUGGGUUUGUCCACGUUGGAGAGUCUGAAUGAGAGGGCCUGCUCUAGCAAUAGGAAGGAUGAAGGUGAACUUUCAGGAAGAAUUUAACCUAAGUUCAUAUAAGAUAGAGUAUAUGGAUCAGGAAGAGCCUUAAAUAACAGCAGCUCUUUAUCCCUCAUUUUACAGAGCCCAAAAGAGUGGGAAAGAUGUGACCAAAGUCACUCAGCGGGUUAAUGGAAAGGCCAAGAUCCAGGCUUCUAAUUUCCAGCUUCUUAAGGAGUCUCCUUGCCUGAAUUGGUUGGAACAGGCAUAUUGCUGGUAGGAGAGUUCAAGGUUGCCUCCAUACCAAAAAGGACAGGAUGCAUGUCUGGACAUAUGAGGUGUGCACACAAGCCAGGGAGAGGUGGAACUGACUGCUAUCUCUGUCUGGAGAAGUUUGAAGGGGUCGCCUCAGGGAGAAGCACAGGGUAAGGCAUACCUAACAGUAGCUGGCAAGCCCAUGGGAGAAAAGGCAAGGAGGCAACCAUCUGC